rnacentral:rRNA from 1 species
UACGUAGGGGGCUAGCGUUGUCCGGAAUCAUUGGGCGUAAAGAGCGCGUAGGCGGCCAGAUAAGUCCGGUGUGAAAGUCAAAGGCUCAACCUUUGAAUGCCGCUGGAAACUGUCUGGCUAGAGUCCGGGAGGGGCGAGUGGAAUUCCUGGUGUAGCGGUGAAAUGCGCAGAUACCAGGAGGAACACCAAUGGCGAAGGCAGCUUGCUGGAACGGUACUGACGCUGAGGCGCGAAAGCGUGGGGAGCGAACAGG